UCAUUUAGAGGAAGGAGAAGUCGUAACAAGGUUUCUGUAGGCAAACCUGCUGAAGGAACAUUGUUGAGGCCCAUCGAGCAGUGAGACCUGUGAACUGGUGACCCUAACAAGAUGUGGGUGGCUUGGGGAGCACUGCACCGCCCACUCUCCCAGGGGACCAUGCGGCGAACCACCUCCGGUGCGAUGGGCAUCAAGGAAUUGAGAUGGAAUGAGCGCGGUUGCCUUCGGGGAUGCCGGUGCUUAUUCGAAACUUACACGACUCUCGACAACUGAUAUCUCAGCACUCGCAUCAAUGAAUAAUAUAGAGAAAUGUGAUACUUGGUGUGAAUUGCAGAAUCUCUUGAACCAUCAAGUCUUAGAACGUAAGUUACGCUUGAGGCCACUCGGCUGAGGGUACGCCUGCCUGGGCAUCACGCACCAUGCUGCCCCCCUCCCCCCGGCGCUCGCCCCAUCCGACAGCGAUGCCGUGGGGUAGAGACUGGCCACUCGUGUAUCCCGCACGUGGGGUCGACUAAAAAACAUUCGCUCCCACGCCGGGGCGCGGACGCAACGGUAGGUGGUUUGAGAGGCGAUUGCGCUGGAGAGGGUGACCCAAGUCCCGCACGGCCCUCGCGCGGUGACCCCAGGUCAGGCGGGGAUACCCGUUGUGUUUAAGCAUAUCAAU
rnacentral:misc_RNA from 1 species